ensembl:lncRNA
GGGGUGGUGGUGGUGGUGUUUAGGGGUAUCUAGGGCGGGGUGUGGCAUGUCCAGGUGCUGAUCUAGGGCCUCUGACAGCUGAGUAUGGGAGUCUAUGAUUAGCCUAUGGAGGGGAGGGGAGGGGGCCCGCAUACACGCCCCCCUGCGUGCCUGCUAUCAUUUAAUGUCAGCAGGGAUUUUCACCAUUUUUAUUCCAAAGACGUGGGCAAAUACUGUCAUCGUACAGUCAUGUCUUGUUUCUAUCAGUAUUCCUUAUCUCUUUCUCUUUUUCUCUCCAUCGCUGUUGUGGUCACUCAACAAAUCCCCCCGCAACCCCUGAGCCUCGUCUCUCCUUCCUGCAUCAUCAAUCUCCAGUCUCCCUCCCCUCCAACCCCUCCCUCUGUCACACUCGUGCUGUUCUCUCCCUCUUUCGCUCCCUCUUUCCCUCUCUCUCUCUCUCCUUAUCUGGACAGUUCUGCUCUCCGUGCCUCUCUGCUGGUCGCUUGCCCCCGACCCACAUCGACCCCCUACCUACCCCCUACCUACCAGUCUGAACAACACAGUGAGGGCCAGGGAGGCCUCCUGCUCACCAGUAUAUGUCACAUCACAUCACGUCCUGUCACACUGCUCUACUGGACCGCUCGUGUCCCCCCGGUUUAGCGCACCAUUAUCUACUAUAUGAAUCCUUCUGCUUUCCUAAUUGGCACGCGUAUAGAUAGCACAGGCUGAGGCUGAUGAGGCCUUUUCAAAGCAACCAGUGGAGGACAAAUAUUUCAACUUUAUAUAAAAAUAAAUCAAAAUAAAAAAAUAUUUAAAAAACAAAGUAAUGCUUAGGAGUACAUCUCUCUCUCUCUCUCUCUCCCUCUAUCCCUUUUUCUCUCUAUCGCUCUUUCUCAUAUCUCACUUUCACAGCCAUCUCGACAUGAGGGCUCUUCUCCUGCCGUGUGAGAGCUUUGCUGCUGCAGAGAGUUUCCCCCUCUAUUAUACGCGGCCCUGGGGAUAGAUCUACAGCAAGGAGGGCUGCUCAGGCACCACCGCCCAAAUGCCAUUUAAACACCAGGCCUAGUGUUCAGAGUUGUUUUUUAGAACACGGUGUGUGUGUGUAUGUGUGUAUGUGUGUGUGUGUGUGUGUGUGUGUGAGUGAGUGAGACAGGAAAAGAGCAAGAGAGAGUGGGUGUGUGUGUGUAAGUCUUUGUAUGAGUGCGUGUGUCUUUGUUUUUCGUACGUGUGUGUGUGUGUAUGUGUGUGUGUGUGUGCCUGUGCUGUGUGAUUAUCACUUCCUGCCUCGUGUGCUGUUUAGCGAGGGUCGCCCCCUGCCACCCGCCUGCCACUCCUCUCCCUGCCUUCACGACACGGGGUCACCGAUCACCUUUUAAUUAAUCAGCCGGCUAAUUAAUCUAAUUGAACUCCACCAUGGAAUCGCAUUGACCCGCACCUGCUCUGGCAGCAAACUUUAACAAGCCGGGGACAUGUUUGUUUCUUUAUUUAUUUUGUUUGUUUAUUUAUUUACCUCCCGCUCAUUAUAUUUACCUAUUGGGAAGUCGCUUCGGCAGUAGUUAAUGCAAAAGCCAUACUGAGCAAGAAACUGUGGACCCAAGAGGCCCGCAUAUUGGGAGCUGGGCCUAGUAGCUCCACGCAAAGCCUGGGACUUGAGUAUGUGUGGUGCCCUCCCCUCCCUCCACCGCCCACCCCACCUAGCUGCCUCUGUGGAGUAGCUGGUGUCAGGGGAGCAGGAGGAGUUAUUGCUGCAGUGCGUUGGAGUGCUGGCUCCUCUCCUCUCCUCUCCCCCUGCAUUCGGACGUGAGCGCUGCCCAGGCCCCUGACUCAGCACUAUUCCGCGUCCUCAUUGGCUGAUCCAGGAUGAAGACGGUACAGUACGGCGAGCCUUGAUGACACUCCUUGUAAAAAAAAAGGGGAAGAAUCGACUUCUUACGACUGCCUUUCCAUAAAUCUCACGGCUGUUUUGUAGAGGGAUUGGCUUCUUUGUAUUCAUCUGGGUCUAUUUUAUCUUUUGGGGGAAUUUAAACGGAAAAGCCUACAGCGCAUAAUUAACUGUGAUCACACUAUGAGGAUUACCUUGUGAUUAUUGGCAUCUUUAUUUCUUAAAUCUUUCAGAAUGAUUUAAUUCUCAAAGCGGUUUUAUUUCUUAACCUUUUAAUCUAAUGGUAACACCCUUUAAAGAAAUCAAUAGCAAUUUAGAUGAUUUAUUUAUUUAUUUGCCUCUCUCGUCUACCUCUAUGAUUCUUCUUCCUCGUCUCUUUCUCUCUCGCUUUUCCCCUCUUUUUUUACUCUCCCUCAGCCUCAGAGAAUAUGUUGUGUUCAUCCAUAACGUGAACAUGGCCUGCUAGUGUUGAGAGACUUUGGACAGAAACAUAUGUGGGGCCCAGGACAUUGCAAUCAGGCGCGACGGCAGUUUACAGAAGAACACAGUGUUUUUCUUUGGAGCAGUGAUUGUCUGCGGGUGUGAUUUCAGUGCGGCUUUGAGUUUUGCGGCAGGGCAUUUAUACCGAUGUGGCAGGUUAGGGGUGGGGUGUGGCGGGGCAUUUAUACCGAUGUGGCACGUUAGGGGUGUGGCGGGGCAUUUAUACCGAUGUGGCACGUUAGGGGUGGGGUGUGGCGGGGGAGGUUGGGGUUGGCGAGGACGAGACAGUGUAAAAAUCUUUAUGGCUGCAGAGGAGAGGAGGCACCUUUAAAAAAAUAAAUGAAUAAAAACAAACAGCAGGUAUCCAUAUGACAUCAAGCAGCCACUGCCAACCUGGAGACUGUGGCCUUCGUCGCACACACACACACAACACACAACACACAGAGACUGAAAACACACAUACACUAGAGAAACACACCCACACACACACACACCCACACACACACACACACACACACACACACACACACACACACACACACACACACACACACACACACACACACACACACACACACUCCAACACAGGUUGUGAGUAAUGGAGCUUCUUUCCUCUUAAUGCCCUCGAUUACUGCCUCGGGGUCAGGCGCUUAACUCAGAGCGGAGGAAGAACAGAGAGAGACAGAGCGAGAGGAGGACGAGUGUGAGGCCGGGCGGCCUUCUCUAAACGGAUAGAGUAGAGUGGUGGGGUGUGGAGAGAGGAGAGAUGUAAACUCAGCAGAAGGAGGUUUUUUCCAUGGAAACGCUACCGCAUGAAAUGGGUGGAGGGUGCGGGAGGCUGGGCGGGGACGCAUAGCUUUAGGGGACACAUCAGACAGCGGUGGGGACGCAUAGCUUUAGGGGACACAUCAGACAGCGGUGGAGACGCAAAGCUCUGAGCAAGGGGUUUUCAGAGGGUGGUGAUGUCAUAAGGUGGCGUUGGGUGAUGAUGUCACGCGUGUGUGCUGCAUCUCUGGCGUCAAAGUAAGUAACUGCAGCUGAUGCGCUCGCUCUCUCUCUCCCUCCCUCUUUCUCUCUCCCUCCCUCUUUCAUUUUCUCUCUCUCUUUCUCUCUCUCUUACUCUCUCCUUCUCUCCCUCUCUCCGUCUCUCCUCUGCACCCUGAUGCGGACUAAUUCACACCCUGAGCAUGAACCUCUACCCCUCCCUGUUUUUAAUGACGACCCAACACAAUAUUUGAAUCAUGUAUUCAUUACCACGCGUAGAAAAAGAACAAAAGAGUGUGUGUGUGUGUGUGUGUGUGUGUGUGUGUGUGUGUUUGUGUGUGUGUGUGUGAGAGAGAGACAGAGAGGGUGGAUGGAGGGGUUCACUACCCAUUUGCUCUCUGAAAAGUGAGAUAAAGAAUGAAAGAGAAAGAAAGAACAACAGCGCAGCGUAGCGCGUGUGAGUGAGGGGAGCCACGGGGCAGGAAACAGAUCGGCCUGACAGGCUUACUAUUGUUCCCGCGGCGGCGCUUCUUUGUAAUGCCACCGACCGCACUCACCCCCCCGGCCUCCGACGGAGACGCUAUUAAAGCCGCCCGCCUUGCAAAACCGCUGCCACUCACUCACACCCACACACACACACACACACACACACACACACACACAGACGGCCUCGGUCGAGGCCAAACCCAUCGAACGCUGUGCAAAUCUGAGCCACUCCUGGCCUGCCUGUCAGUCUCUGUCUCUCUGUCUCUAUCUCUGAGUCGUCUUACACACACUACACUCACACAGUUCAGCUGAUUCAGCCUCACGCUGCCUCUGAGAAACACACUCUCACACACGCUGUACAGGUGGACAAAAUGAUUCUGGGGAACUUACUGGCAAAGGUUUACAGAGGAGUGUACCCUGACUAGACCACUGUGUUUAUGCACUUUGAAGUCCCUAAUAGAAUAGAAAUGAAGUUUGAUCAUUUUCUUGUCGUCAUGCCAACAAUAGAAUUGUACACUGCUGUGAUAUGUUUAAUUUUACACACACCUCGUGUGUGUGUGCGUGUGUGUGUGUGUGUGUGUGUGUGAGAGAGGAGAGAUUAGGUGAGGUGUGGAGUGACUGUAGAGGGCUGCUGUGGCUGCAGCAGAGGUCAGUGGCACGUGAUGUUCCCAAUCAGCCCAUGGUCUGUCAAAACACCACCCCUUAUCACACACUCUGCAUGCACGCUCUCACUCUGGGCUUAAUGCGGUAUGUGCAUGCAAGCACGCGCGCACACACAUACAGACACACACACUCACACAUAUGGAUACACAGACAUACGCACACUCACUCACUAUCUCAUACACACACAAACAGACACACAAACACUCACUUCCCCUCUCCCACACACACAUAGACACACACACACUGGCAAAUAGGUGCAGCAUAUGGUAACUUCUCUGAAUCCUUGCCACUGUCAAACACAUAUUUUUUCUGUCAUUAAUUGCUUGUCCUCCCUCUUUACCUCUCUCCCUCCCUCCCUCCUACCUCUCACUCUCUCUCUCUCUCUGUCGCUCCCUCUUUCUAUCUCUUAAACUCUCUCUGUCUCUCUCCGUACUUUUCUUUAUGACUGUGCGGCAGCCAGCCCAGUCCUUCCACUCACCUUCAAAUCCCCUUCAGAGACCUUGCACACGGAGCCUCCUACCUCAGACAUGCCACACUGCUCCCUUAUCACCUCCUCUCUCUCUCUCUCUCUCUCUCUCUCUCUCUCACACACACACACACUUUCUCUCUCUCUCACACACACACACAGACACACAGAUACACACACACUCAUAGACACACACACACUCACUGUCCUCUGGCCAUUUCCCUGCUGCUGGCCCAGCGCAGGCAGGCGGCGUGUUAAUGUUUUAUAUUCUGUGUAAUUCACUGUGAGGUCCCUAAGCCGUUUUUGAACACUUCUGCCUUUUGGCGUGGCGAUAGUCACGCUACUUUGGCCUGAAAGUGCCAAAUGUGCAACUUCUUCCCUCCCCGGCGCCAUACUUCCUCUCGCCCGCUAUCGCUGCCGCUGCCGCUGCCACUGCCGCUGCCGCUUCAUGCCGAUUCAGCUGCCUGUCUUCAGCCUGAUCCUCAGCCUCUCCCCACCACCCCUGCAUGUAUAUUAAUGUUAGGGGCCGCCGUUACUCUCAAGUGCCUGUGCACAGUUGGUCCCGGUCAGAGUGUGUAACUCUUUACCAGCAUCAAUAGUUCAUGCAGGACAUCUCUCCUCUUUUCCUCUCCUUCUGUGUGUGUGUGUGUAUGUGUGUGUGUGUGUGUGUGUGUGUGACGUGUGUGUCUUUAUCUCUCUGGCUGCUCCUCUACGCUAGCCCUCGCCCUCUCCGACUCUCUCAUCUCCUUUCCCACAACCCCUCCUGUCUCCGAUCACGUCAUUCUGCCUGCCUUUCUUCUAUCACUCCCUCUUAUCCUCCACCACCCUUGUUCUCUCCUUUUUCCCUCCUCGCCCCUCAUCUCAAUCUCUCAUCCCCUCAUCUCUCGCCCUCUUCAUCUCCUUCUCCUAUUUACCAGAAGUGGUGCUCUCUCCUCUCUCUCUCUCUCUCUCUCUCUCUCUCUUUAUCCAUCAGUCGUCCAUUCCUCCCUCUCUGCUCCCAGCUCUUAGCUUAAAGCCAGUGGCAGCAGUGGAAUGUUAACGAGUCUCUCCCUGACACUGCACUCCUAAAGCCGGUGUGUGUGUGUGUGUGUGUGUGUGUGUGUGUGUGUGUGUGUGUGUGUGUGUGUGUGUGUGUGUGUGUUGUUUGUGUGUAUGUACUAUCUAAAUUUGUGCUUGUAUGAGUGUGUGAUCUAUUUCCGUGUGUGAGUGUGAUUUUGCGUGUAUACACAGGUAUAUAUGUGUGUGUGUGUGCGUGUGCGAGGGUGCUAGUGGCUGUGUCUCGGCCGCGUGUAGGGUCUCCUUUCACCUGUGCAGCUGUUCUGAUAUUCCGUCUGCACAGCACUCCCAGCUGCUGCUCCCAAUUACCCCCCUACACAUACACACACCCAUACACUCCACACCCACAUACGCAGAAAUAUACACACAUACAUACAUACACACAAUACUACUUCUAUCAGUGAUACAGAAGGGAGGGCAAAUUCACAAGGCCGCACACAGACACAAACACACUUCUAUUUUACACCCAGACAGGCUCUGCAAAUAAUCACCCUGGCCUUCUGACUCCCUUCAGGCUACCCUUCACACACACAGUCUACUCCUGCAGGAUGCUCCUGCCCUGUCCCCUGCAUUACGGAUGUGCCUGUUCUGGCUAGUUUCGAAUCCGCUUUUAUUCCAACCGUAAAUAUUUCCUUUUACCCGCUGGUAGUAAUAACAGUAUAAAAGGUGUUUGCAGAGAAAAUAUUGCUGAAUCUGCAGUUGCCGGCGAGAUGGAGAAUUCUCCCACGGAAUUGCCGGCGCUUCAGGGCGGUAAGUGAACAUGAAUUUCAGAGAGAAUUUGGCAGCUUAAAAUAUAUAAAUGAACCACAAUUAGCUGUGUGUUAACUACAUUGUUAUUACAGAUUAAUAACACGGUCUGGGUGUAAUGUGGUCAUUAGAUGUUGAGAAGCAGCUCUGCAGCACACACACACACACUCUCACACACACACACACACACAUACACAGCUGUGUACAGCAACAUUCCAAUCAGCACAGAAAUUGCAACUGAGACGUCUGUGUUUUUUUUCCCCUUCCACCAACAUUGACAAGAGGAUGCCUCCAUUGCAGUGCCCUUGUUCUUUUAAUUACUUCCUCUUGGUGUACAGCUCGGCUGAAUGUUAAUUAUCCAUUGCGCUUAGGAAGUUUCGGGAAGCUCACCCAGCCGAUGCUGGGGAGAGUGGGAAACGGGGUGGGAAGGAAAAAGGUGUGUCCAGGACCCGCUGAUGGAUGGCUCAGGACUUUAAAGGUCCAGCACGCCUUUGCCUCUGUCACGGCAUGGCAUGGCAUGGCAUGGCAUGGCAUUAAAAAAUAACGACACACUGGGCUUUGCUCCGACAAAUAUAGUCGUAAUUACAGGAUAUUCUGAGUGUAAUUGUGUCAAUAAGUUUCCUCUCUGACAUUUGGGCACUGACAUUUUUCUGCAGCUCAGCAAAAAAACUGCGAAAUAUAGGCAGCCAUUAGGAGUCCAGCUGUGAUCGCUGCCAUGCUCCGAAUCCACACAGUAAUUAUGGAUCGUCACUCUCGCCCUGUCUCAACAACCCCCUCCCUCUUUCUCUGUGUGUGUGUGUGUGUGAGAGAGAGAGUUUAUGAGUGUGUGCGUGUUUGUGUGUGUCCCUCAUGUCUGAUCAUGUAUGGCCUGAUGUUCCAGGGGCUUAAAUGUGAGCAGAUGUCGCUUUAAUUGAUUAGGCAAUAUUACACGCGCAUUGAUCCUGGUUUUAGAGUUCCGAUGGUGCGCCGCACAAGAGGAAGUGAGGCGGGAGAGGACAGCCGGGAAGACGCCUCGUGUGCUGACCCACAGGCUCGCUGUCUGACCAGCGUGCAAUCCAUCCACCACGCCUCACCAGCCAAUCAAUCAAUCAAUCAAUCAGGUAGCUAAUUUAUUGCACUCGAUUUGCACAAUGGUCUUAAGAAAGAACAAAAACAAAGAUGUCCUCUGCAAAAUGACGUCGUGCUUUAGGUGCAGCUAUGGAGGUGGAACUGUACACUUCAGCAUCUUUAAAUGUAAUGGGUUUAUUGGUGAUGUGUAUAUUCCGCAAAAAAAUGUUUCAGUCCCAGCACUCUAUUUCAACUUAAUUUGAGUAAUAUUCUAGUUGUAGUCUAGUAUAGUUGUAAAAGUUCCCAGAAAUGUGUGGAAUCAGAUGUGUGUGUUGUGUGUUCUUGUGCCUCCAUGAAACGAAGACAUCAGAACACACAAAAACAAAUUAAAAUACUAUUACAAAAAAGUAUAAAAAUCUUUUUUUUGUGCACUAAUGGUUUAUGAAAGACCACCUGAAACUAUUAGCUGUGCUUCCCCCCUCCUCUGAGUAAUAUGUAUUCAGAUAAUUUGAACUCUGAGCUAUGGCAGUGCUUCUCCUCUCUCAGGGUGUAAUUUCACUUUCUUAAUGUAUUCAUUGCCAUAUCACUGUUUGGCUCCCCAGGGAAGCACCUCACUGUAGAGGACACCCAACUCAAAUUCUGCUUGAUUGACUGAUGGAUGGGGCUGCCGGGAUGACUAAGGGCUUCUGCAAAGCAUGCUGGGUAAGACACCAAAGACAGGGAAAUAUAUGGAUGGAGAGAAGGAGAGGGCGAGGCAGAGAGAAAGAGAGAGAUGGAAAGAUGGGCAAAGCAGAAGAGACAGUGAUAGCGAGAGACCUUGCCUGUCCUUUAUGUUUUCCUGACCUCCACUUUGUCCUUUGUGUGUUUAUAGGUGACCUCUAGGGCCUCUUUCCUCCCCUCUCCCCUCUUUCCCUGAUCUCACCCCAACCCUUACACCCUGCCUUGAACCCCCCCUC